GUGCUUGUAGUUCAGUUGGUUAGAGCGUCAGAUUGUGGUUCUGAAUGUCGUGGGUUCGAGUCCCAUCAAGCACCCC
rnacentral:tRNA from 1 species